GAUGAACGCUAGCUGCGUGCCUAAUACAUGCAAGUCGCGCGAACAGACGAGGAUCUUUCUCCUCUGACGUUAGCGGCGGACGGGUGAGUAACACGUGGAUAACCUACCUAUCAGACUGGGAUAACUUCGGGGAACCGGAGCUAAUACCUGCUAAUUUAUUUAACCUCAUGGUUUCAUAGUUAAAGACGGUUUUGCUGUCACUUAUAGAUGGAUCCGCGCCGCAUUCGAUAGUUGGUAAGGUAACGGCUUACCAAGGCGACGAUGCGUAGCCGACCUGAGAGGGUGGUAAGCCACACCGGAACGGAGACAAGGUCCAGACUCGUACGGGAGGCAGCAGUAGGGAAACUACCGCAAGGGGCGAAAGCCAGACGGGGAAAAGCCGAGUGAGGGAUAAAGGGAUGCGGAUAGUAAAACUCUGUUACUAGGGAGGAACAAAUGAGUAAGUAACUAGGCACGUCUUGAAGGUACCGAAUCAGAAAGGCACGGCUAAUUACGUG
rnacentral:rRNA from 1 species